rnacentral:rRNA from 1 species
AUUGAACGCUGGCGGCAUGCCUUACACAUGCAAGUCGAACGGCAGCACGGGAGCAAUCCUGGUGGCGAGUGGCGAACGGGUGAGUAAUAUAUCGGAACGUGCCCAGUCGUGGGGAUAACGUAGCGAAAGCUACGCUAAUACCGCAUACGAUCUAUGGAUGAAAGCGGGGGAUCGCAAGACCUCGCGCGCUUGGAGCGGCCGAUAUCAGAUUAGGUAGUUGGUGAGGUAAAGGCUCACCAAGCCGACGAUCUGUAGCUGGUCUGAGAGGACGGCCAGCCACACUGGGACUGAGACACGGCCCAGACUCCUACGGGAGGCAGCAGUGGGGAAUUUUGGACAAUGGGCGCAAGCCUGAUCCAGCAAUGCCGCGUGCAGGAUGAAGGCCUCGGUUGUAA